rnacentral:rRNA from 1 species
AUUGAACGCUGGCGGCAGGCCUAACACAUGCAAGUCGAACGGUAACAGAAAGCAGCUUGCUGCUUUGCUGACGAGUGGCGGACGGGUGAGUAAUGUCUGGGAAACUGCCUGAUGGAGGGGGAUAACUACUGGAAACGGUAGCUAAUACCGCAUAACGUCGCAAGACCAAAGAGGGGGACCUUAGGGCCUCUUGCCAUCGGAUGUGCCCAGAUGGGAUUAGCUAGUAGGUGGGGUAACGGCUCACCUAGGCGACGAUCCCUAGCUGGUCUGAGAGGAUGACCAGCCACACUGGAACUGAGACACGGUCCAGACUCCUACGGGAGGCAGCAGUGGGGAAUAUUGCACAAUGGGCGCAAGCCUGAUGCAGCCAUGCCGCGUGUAUGAAGAAGGCCUUCGGGUUGUAAAGUACUUUCAGCGGGGAGGAAGGGAGUAAAGUUAAUACCUUUGCUCAUUGACGUUACCCGCAGAAGAAGCACCGGCUAACUCCGUGCCAGCAGCCGCGGUAAUACGGAGGGUGCAAGCGUUAAUCGGAAUUACUGGGCGUAAAGCGCACGCAGGCGGUCUGUUAAGUCAGAUGUGAAAUCCCCGGGCUCAACCUGGGAACUGCAUCUGAUACUGGCAGGCUUGAGUCUCGUAGAGGGGGGUAGAAUUCCAGGUGUAGCGGUGAAAUGCGUAGAGAUCUGGAGGAAUACCGGUGGCGA